GGCUAACAUAGUGAAACCCCAUUUUACUAAAAAUACAAAAAUUAGCUGGGCGUGGUGGUGGGCACCUGUAAUCCCAGCUAUUCAGGAGGCUGAGGCAGGAGAAUUGCUAGAACUCAGGAAGUGGAGGUUGCAGUGACCCGAGAUUGUGCCACUGCAUUCCAACCUGGGCGAAACAGACAGCCUCUGUCUCAAAAAAAAAAAAAAAAAAAAAGAGACUUAAAAGCCAGGCAGUGGCUCACACCUGUAAUCUCAAUACUUUGGGAGGCCAAGAUGGGAGGAUCACUUGAGUCCAGUUUAAGACUAGCCCAGGCAACACAGCAAGAUCUGUCGCAAAAAAAGAAAAAAAAAAUUAGGUGACUUGGACUAGUGGCCAGAUUCAAAUCUGGGUCUUUAGACCACAAGCUAGUUUACUUGAUUAGCUCAUAUUUAAAUCUAAAUCUUGUUUGCUGUAACUUUGGGCAUAUUACUGUAUAUAGCCCUUGCCCUCAAAGAGUUAGUCUAUCAUGAAAGAUAAAUAUAGAAUAUGAGAAGUACUGAUAAAACACAGAAAUGUUAAUUGUUCAGUAGAUCAAUAAGAUUAAUAAACAUUAAAAUUUAGAAAAAACAAAACUCCUAAACUGGUAUGGAUAAACUAGUACCCCUUUCAAAGUGAGAAAUAGAAAAUGACAUAUGGGAGGCUGGGUGUGUUGGCUCCCACCUGUAAUCCCAGCACUUUGGGAGGCUGAGGUGGGUGGAUCACCUGAAGCCAGGAGUUCAAGACCAGUCUGGCCAACACGGUGAAACCCUGUCUCUACUAAAAAUACAAAAAUGAGCUGGGUGUGGUGGUGCAUGCCUGUAAUCCCAAUUACUCAGGAGAAUGAGGCACAAGAAUCAGUUGAACCUGGUAGGUGGAGGUUGCAGUGAGCCAAGAUAGUGCUACUGCGCUCCAGUCUGGAAUGAAAUUCUGUCUCAAAAAAGAAAGUAACAUAUGGG
rnacentral:lncRNA from 10 species